ensembl:lncRNA
CCAGGGAAUCCUUGAUGAAGGUGAGCAGAUGUCCCCUCGUGUGGAUCUGCAGCUCCAGCCCUGUGGGCACUGGUUGCCAUGAUGGAGGGGGCAGGAGGGGACAACGGCAUGGAGCUGCCAUCAGACAGAGCUCCGUGGGAGUGCGGAUGCCGUGAUGGCCGCUCCUCUUCUCCUUUCCCGCAGGAUGCCCAGCAAAUACGGGAAGAAAGAACGACUGCCACGAAAGAUGAGCUGGAUCAGGUAGGGGGGAGCGGGGGCUCGUCCUCAGAGCUCAGCGUCCUCACAGCUUUGGCUCUGUGGGAGGACCUCGGUCCCCUGUCCCUCGGGUCCAUGGGGCCCGGCGCAGCCGCCCCACAUGGCACACCCUUUGUCUUUGCAGGAGAAGCAGCUCGUUGCCCAGCUGGAACAGCAGCUGCAGGCUGAGACAGAGGAGAUGGAGGUAGCGUGGAGGGGCGAGGGGAUGGGGGCUGCCCGCCCCCGCGUGGGGACCUGGAGGACGUCUGCAGAGGGCACGGGCACUCACGCUUUUGUCUGCC